rnacentral:rRNA from 1 species
UACAGAGGAUGCAAGCGUUAUCCGGAAUGAUUGGGCGUAAAGCGUCUGUAGGUGGCUUUUUUAAGUCCGCCGUCAAAUCCCAGGGCUCAACUCUGGACAGGCGGUGGAAACUACCAAGCUGGAGUACGGUAGGGGCAGAGGGAAUUUCCGGUGGAGCGGUGAAAUGCGUAGAGAUCGGAAAGAACACCAACGGCGGAAAGCACUCUGCUGGGCCCGACACUGACACUGGAGAGACGAAAGCUAGGGGAGCGAAUGGG